CUCGGAGCUUUGCUGAAACUGCACAAAAAAUCGAGCUGGGGGGUUCCCUGGUCCCCGAUGUUGGGGCGGAGAGCGCGGCGCCGAGGGAGGGGGCGGCGCAGACCGGCCUAGGGGACACCUGGUCGAGCGCAGCCGCCGCUCCGCUCGAGCCCUGCGCUCCAGUGCCCCCACUGGCUGGAGAGCUCGCCCAGACCGGGGGUCUUCCUCCGUCGCUGACAGAUUUUAACCAUUAGAAGAAUACCAGUUCUGGAAAACAACCAAAGUUUCUUUGAUUGAAUGCCCAUGUAAUGCAUUGGAAUAUGAUAGGCGAUUAAGGUUUAACAAUGUUAAAAUGAAGAUAUUACUAAAAUGGCCCUCUAAAUAGCCCAACAAUUAUUAUUUUCUUUGUCCUAUGGAUUUGGCUUUGAAAGAUGUGCUGCUCUUAAUAAGUCAUUAAACCCAGAACCUCAGAGGGCUCUACUACUAAACCAUAUACCAGUACCAAAACCGAAAAAUAUUGACGAUACUUUUGUGCUGAAUAUUCCUCAGCCUUAACUUACUAAUGCUUAUGCCCAAUGGAUCUUCCUUCAUGAAGUACCCUCUCCUCCCCCCCAUUUAUCUUUGGUGAUUUUAAUAAAUAAUACCUUUGGAAAAU
rnacentral:lncRNA from 1 species